AUUGAACGCUGGCGGCAGGCCUAACACAUGCAAGUCGAGCGGAGCGGCGGACGGGUGAGUAAUGCCUAGGAAUCUGCCUGGUAGUGGGGGAUAACGUCCGGAAACGGGCGCUAAUACCGCAUACUAGCAGAUGAGCCUAGGUCGGAUUAGCUAGUUGGUGGGGUAAAGGCCUACCAAGGCGACGAUCCGUAGCGGGUCGGAGGGGAUGAUCAGGCACACUGGAACUGAGACACGGUCCAGACUCCUACGGGCGGCAGCAGUGGGGAAUAGUGGACAAUGGGCGAAAGCCUGAUGCAGCCAUGCCGCGUGUGUGAAGAAGGUCUUCGGAUUGUAAAGCACUUUAAGUUGGGAGGCGUUACCAACAGAAUAAGCACCGGCUAACUCCGUGCCAGCAGCCGCGGUAAUAC
rnacentral:rRNA from 1 species